rnacentral:rRNA from 1 species
AACGAACGCUGGCGGCAGGCUUAACACAUGCAAGUCGAGCGCCCCGCAAGGGGAGCGGCAGACGGGUGAGUAACGCGUGGGAACGUACCCUUUGCUACGGAAUAGCUCCGGGAAACUGGAAUUAAUACCGUAUGUGCCCUACGGGGGAAAGAUUUAUCGGCAAAGGAUCGGCCCGCGUUGGAUUAGCUAGUUGGUGUGGUAAUGGCCUACCAAGGCGACGAUCCAUAGCUGGUCUGAGAGGAUGAUCAGCCACAUUGGGACUGAGACACGGCCCAAACUCCUACGGGAGGCAGCAGUGGGGAAUAUUGGACAAUGGGCGCAAGCCUGAUCCAGCCAUGCCGCGUGAGUGAUGAAGGCCUUAGGGUUGUAAAGCUCUUUCACCGGAGAAGAUAAUGACGGUAUCCGGAGAAGAAGCCCCGGCUAACUUCGUGCCAGCCGCCGCGGUAAGAC